rnacentral:rRNA from 1 species
UACGAACCGGACAAACGUUAUUCGGAAUUAUUGGGCUUAAAGGGUGCGUAGGCGGUGCGGUCAGUUGGGUGUGAAAUCCCUCGGCUCAACCGAGGAACUGCGUCCAAUACUGCCGUACUCGAGGGAGACAGAGGUAAGCGGAACUGAUGGUGGAGCGGUGAAAUGCGUUGAUAUCAUCAGGAACACCAGUGGCGAAGGCGGCUUACUGGGUCUCUUCUGACGCUGAGGCACGAAAGCUAGGGGAGCGAACGGGAUUAGAAACCCCAGUAGUCC